rnacentral:rRNA from 1 species
UACAGAGGGUGCGAGCGUUGUUCGGAAUUAUUGGGCGUAAAGGGCGCGUAGGCGGCCUGGCAAGUGGAAGGUGAAAUCCCUCGGCUUAACCGAGGAACUGCCCUCCAAACUGCUUGGCUUGAGUCCGGGAGAGGUGAGUGGAAUUCCCAGUGUAGCGGUGAAAUGCGCAGAUAUCAGGAGGAACACCGGUGGCGAAGGUGGUGGUCUGGGCCGGCACUGACGCUGAGGAGCGAAAGCGUGGGGAGCAAACAGG